UCCUACGGGAGGCAGCAGCGGGGAAUAUUGCACAAUGGGGGAAACCCUGAUGCAGCCAUGCCGCGUGUGUGAAGAAGGCCUUCGGGUUGUAAAGCACUUUCAGUUGUGAGGAAAAGUUAGUAGUUAAUACCUGCUAACCGUGACGUUAACAACAGAAGAAGCACCGGCUAACUCCGUGCCAGCAGCCGCGGUAAUACGGAGGGUGCGAGCGUUAAUCGGAAUUACUGGGCGUAAAGCGCACGCAGGCGGUUUGUUAAGCUAGAUGUGAAAGCCCCGGGCUCAACCUGGGAUGGUCAUUUAGAACUGGCAGACUAGAGUCUUGGAGAGGGGAGUGGAAUUCCAGGUGUAGCGGUGAAAUGCGUAGAUAUCUGGAGGAACAUCAGUGGCGAAGGCGACUCCCUGGCCAAAGACUGACGCUCAUGUGCGAAAGUGUGGGUAGCGAACAGGAUUAGAUACCCUGGUAGUCCACACCGUAAACGCUGUCUACUAGCUGUGUGUGCCUUUAAGGCGUGCGUAGCGAAGCUAAACGCGCUAAGUAGACCGCCUGGGGAGUACGGCCGCAAGGUUAGAACUCAAAUGAAUUGACGG
rnacentral:rRNA from 1 species